GUCGGGAGUUAGGAAAUGUAAGGGUGUUAAUAGCAUUCUUACUUGACUAAGGCCCCGGAGGAAGCCACGGCUAACUCUGUGCCAGCAGCCGCGGUAAUACAGAGGCGGCAAGCGUUGUUCGGAAUUAUUGGGCGUAAAGAGCACGUAGGCGGCUGUGUAAGUCGGUUGUGAAAGCCUUCCGCUCAACGGAAGAACGGCAGCCGAUACUGCAUGGCUUGAGUGCGGGAGGGGAGAGUGGAACUUCUGG
rnacentral:rRNA from 1 species